UGGGGAAUCUUGCGCAAUGGGCGAAAGCCUGACGCAGCAACGCCGCGUGCGGGAUGAAGGCCUUCGGGUUGUAAACCGCUUUCAGUGGGGACGCGGUACCCACAGAAGAAGCCCCGGCCAACUACGUGCCAGCAGCCGCGGUAACACGUAGGGGGCGAGCGUUGUCCGGAUUUAUUGGGCGUAAAGAGCUCGUAGGUGGUUCGAUAAGUCGGGUGUGAACCUCCAGGCUCAACCUGGAGACGCCACCCGAUACUGUCGGACUAG
rnacentral:rRNA from 1 species